ensembl:lncRNA
AGAGGGAUGAGAGUACGAAAUAAAGGGAUUAAGAGGUACAAACUUCUGGUUAUAAAAUAAAUAAGUCACAGAGAUAAAAAGCACAACAUUGGGAAUAUAAUAAAUAAUUUUGUAAUAACUUGCUAUGGUGACUACAGUUAUCAUGAUGAGCACUGACCAGUGUAUAGAAUUGUCAAAUCACUAUGUUGUACACUGGUAGCUAAAUUAGCACUGUGCCAACUGUACUUCAAUAAUAAUAGCAAUAAUAUUCCUGAAGAAGAAGGAAGGGGAAUGAAGGGAGGGAGAGAGAGAGAGAGGAAGAAAGAAAGAAAAGAAAGAAAGAAAGAAAGAAAGAUGAGGAAGGAAGGGGAAGAGGAAAGGAGAGGAGAGGAGAGGAGAGGAGAGGAGAGGAGAAAUCUCCAGCCUGGGAGGGUGGGAGAGAAAGCAAGCAAGCAAGCACGCUCCAGCCUGGGGUGCCUAAGGAAUUCCUAGACAAUCACGGGACACCCCACUCUCUCAGAUCGGUAGGGGGGCCUUGAGGGAGAGAGAAAGAAGCUGUCAGGGACCCGAGCCCUUUGCCCGCUGGAGAGAGACGGGAGAGUGCCCGGAGUUGGCAACACGGUCGGUGGGAAGCGACCAGUGCUGUCCCAGCGCGCUCUGAGCAGGCCUGGAAAGCCGAUGCGCAGCGGGACAGAGGCCUCUCCGCGCCUCAGCUCCCCUUCUCCGGCCUGGACUCCGUUCUUCCCACCCACACAGCCCACCCCUCAGCUCCCGGGCUGGGUCCCAGGGGUGCAGGCGGCCGGCAAUCGCUACCGCCCCCGGACCCUGCUGGCGCCCGAGACCAGGCACAGACCCCCGGGGGACGCAGCACCAGAAGGAGACCGUUCUCCGGAUUCGCUGAGGAUUUUCGCAGCUAAGGCCUCCCCGACUGGGCUGUAACUGGGUCUUCGUGGCCCUAGUGGGAGGAAAGAGGACAAAGUGAGAAAUUAACAAAUUGAGAAUUUGCAAAAGCCCUAUGACUCACAACACGGAACAAGUUUACAAGUUAUGCUGAAUGACACAAACGAAGCUCCAAUUGUCCUAACACUGGCUGGUUCAGACCCUCUGUUUCAAGAUUAAGACCAAAGGCAAGCUGAUGUGACUAUGGAAAAACAGCCAGCAGUAACAAGAAUGUACAACUGAUGCACACAACAAAGUUGUGCGAAAUCUCCAAAACAUGUUGAGUGAAAAACCAUCCAAAAUUCAAGAACACAAUUCAAGGAAGGAUUCUGCUCAGGAGCCAUGGCCUAACAGAAACCUUGACUUCAGACAUCUAGCCUCUACAACUAAGACCAUCAAUGUUUGUUUUAAGCCUUCCAGCCUUGGGUAUUUUGUUACGGCAGCCCUAGGAAACUCCUAGGGUGAAAGUGUCCUAUAUCUUCUUUGUGGUGAUGGUUUCAUGUGUGGGUACAUUUGUCAAAAUUCAUUGAAAUGUGUGCAUUUUGUUGUAUUGUUGUGCCCAAGAUUGCAAAUCCGAGAAAACCACCAAGGAACCGACACUGAUGCAAGUACAUGAGGGUUUAUUAACAAACUCUAGCUUGGGUCCAAGUAUACCCAACACAGCGGAGCAGGGACUUGGACCCCGAGGUGGGUUACAGCUGGUUUUUUAUGGGCUGGUCUAGGGGUAAGGUGGGGUUUUUCAGUAAGGGUAGAGGUGUGAGAAUCUCCAGUAAAGAGGUCUCACAAGCUCUUGCUUCCUUAUUCCAAUAAGGGCGUGCUUUGUGAUUUUGUCUGUAGCCAGGGUAAGGUAGAGUUCAGUUCCUGGUCACAGUGGCCUGGUCAUAGUGGGCUGAGAUGGCUGCCAAAGCUACAAUGGCUGUACUCAUGCCAAUGUUAAACUUGAAUGGCCCUAAUUCUCUCGACCUCCANGGUAGAGGUGGAAUCUCCAGUAAAGAGGUCUCACAAGCUCUUGCUUCCUUAUUCCAAUAAGGGCGUGCUUUGUGAUUUUGUCUGUAGCCAGGGUAAGGUAGAGUUCAGUUCCUGGUCACAGUGGCCUGGUCAUAGUGGGCUGAGAUGGCUGCCAAAGCUACAAUGGCUGUACUCAUGCCAAUGUUAAACUUGAAUGGCCCUAAUUCUCUCGACCUCCACAGUAUAUACAUUAUGCUUCAAUCAUGUUGAUAUUUUUAAAAUAGGCAUCACAAUAUGGACCACUGUAAAAUAAACCACCAUAAUUGAGUUCCCCA